GUGUACACAAGAUAGAGCUCUCAUCAAGUCUUAUUAAACUUUACAAUUAAAUCCACCUUCAAAAGUUAUUUCAUAAACUUUAUUUGUUUUGUUCUUAUAAAUGUAACCCACCUCUACCUUUUACAUGAGCUGCACCUUUACUUGAAGUCCGUGAUUUUUUCAUAAAAGAAAGUUUUCUAAAGAAACUGACUGACAACAGCGGUAUACAAACUGGUUACAAGUAAAAGUAAAGUUUUUCGUGGUUCAUCGUUUAUAGGGCAGGUUCCUCUAAAUGGCUAUCUUGCCGCCAAAUCCGUUAAAUUUCAUUAUUAUUACUAUUCCAAAAUUAAUUAUUUAUGAGUA
rnacentral:rRNA from 1 species